AAAACAAGACAGCUUUAGCAUCUCCAGACACUGAAGGACCAAAUUAAAACUGGGACACCAAUGGCGCAGGAUUGUCAGCGCACCUCUCUUGCCCUCUCUGAUAGUAUUCAUUAAAAUUUGGACCAGAGGCCUCCAUGAGAAUGUAAGGAACUGCAAACAUUUCUGAGAGCUCGGUAUGGACAUUCACCCAGCCUUCACAUCCUCACGUCUUUUCCUGUUGCCUCCUACUGGAUAUUGAUCACUCAACAGCCAAAAGCUUUAACACAACAGCCAUUGGUGUCCCUGAUGAGUUUUACUGUUAGCUGGCCAAUGCUUACCCUCUUGCAAGUGAAAGCCUGAGGAGGCUGCUUCAGCCAGAGAACAUCAACUAAUUCGUCGGCUUUUAGUCUUCUGUAUAUACACAUAAAAGGUAUGUUUGCUUAGACCAUGUGUCAGCAUGUGUUUUGGGAACAAGCUGGUAUAUUGUGCUUCAUUUCCCCCUUUGUUCCUUUGUAUUCAAGGGGAUUUUACCUUUCCAUUGGAAGAUACUUGAGGAAAUGCAUGCCUGCUGUGAAAGCCUGAUUUAGUUUGCAUCGCAUCUGCACUGUCUGGUUCUGCAAUGUGCACUUUGGAAUUAAAUCAGAUUGUCUGCAUCUCUA